rnacentral:rRNA from 1 species
GGUUGUAGCUGAUCUUUUCAAGAUAUGUGCACACCUCUAUCUAUACACCCAUGUGCACCUUUUGUAGGCUUUUUUUUGCCUAUGUUUAUACACCACACACCAUUUUGUACAAGAAUGUUAUUAAUGAAUAUUUAAUACAACUUUCAACAACGGAUCUCUUGGCUCUCGCAUCGAUGAAGAACGCAGCGAAAUGCGAUAAGUAAUGUGAAUUGCAGAAUUCAGUGAAUCAUCGAAUCUUUGAACGCACCUUGCGCUCCUUGGUAUUCCGAGGAGCAUGCCUGUUUGAGUGUCAUUAAAUUAUCAACCUCUUCAAGAGGCUUGGAUUUGGAGUGUUGCUGGCUUGUUGUUGGCUCCUCUUAAAUGAAUUAAGCUUGUGUGUAGGCUUUGGUUUGAUAAUAUCUAUGCCAUCGCUGUAAUGCAAAACAACCUUGAAAUUUGACCUCAAAUCAGGUAGGACUACCCGCUGAACUUAAGCAUAUCAAUAAGCGGAGGAAAAGAAACUAACAAGGAUU